rnacentral:lncRNA from 10 species
AGGGCUUUGUGCAGUCAGCUUUGAACAAGAACAUAGAGGCCAGAGUUUCAUCAUGAGGUCUGUGACUUGCCACCUACUUUGCCAUCACUUGAGAGGUUGAGUAAGACAGGCCAUCAGAGAAGACGUUGAGGUGGAGAAUGUGAGACCCACAUGCACACAAGCCGGCAUGCUCUUCCCUGCCUCCUCUUUCUUUUGUGACCUCUUAUGGAAUGCUGUGGGAAAGCACUCAAGUCCUGAGGUUCCAUUGGCUACGGAAACGAAGAAAUUUGAACUAACUCUUGCUAAGAAACUGUAAUUAGGACAUGGACCCUGACAUAAUUAUCUUUGUGAAUUUCAUUGUGUUUUUUUUUUUAUUUUUUCUAAGUGAAAUUGCUUCAGAAAAUUGGAGAGCCAUCUUACAUUC